GAUGAACGCUGGCGGCGUGCCUAAUACAUGCAAGUCGAGCGAACAGACGAGGAGCUUGCUCCUCUGACGUUAGCGGCGGACGGGUGAGUAACACGUGGAUAACCUACCUAUAUGACUGGGAUAACUUCGGGAAACCGGAGCUAAUACCGGAUAAUAUAUUGAACCGCAUGGUUCAAUAGUGAAAGACGGUUUUGCUGUCACUUAUAGAUGGAUCCGCGCCGCAUUAGCUAGUUGGUAAGGUAACGGCUUACCAAGGCAACGAUGCGUAGCCGACCUGAGAGGGUGAUCGGCCACACUGGAACUGAGACACGGUCCAGAGUCCUACGGGAGGCAGCAGUAGGGAAUCUUCCGCAAAGGGCGAAAGCUUGACGGAGCAACGCCGCGUGAGUGAUGAAGGUCUUCGGAUCGUAAAACUCUGUUAUUAGGGAAGAACAAAUGUGUAAGUAACUAUGCACGUCUUGACGGUACCUAAUCAGAAAGCCACGGCUAACUACGUG
rnacentral:rRNA from 1 species